rnacentral:lncRNA from 1 species
AGAUAACUUAAUGGUACUCAGCUGCAGGUGAACAGGUCUGCAGGUUCUCAGGUGUUUUUACUUGGCAUCCCGGUACAGAUGGUUGAAGACUGGGCUCCCUGGGUCUCCACCUUUUGAUGGGAGUAGUUGCAAAGAAUUUGCAAAAAUCUUUAACACAGCAAGCACUGUGUCAGUUUGAAUCCUUCAAGAAGCCAAGAUGGGAUUAGAUAUGCAAGAGAUUUAUUGAAGGGAAAUAUCUGUGAAGGGUAAAGAGAGAGAGAAGGACUAAUCAGAGAGAGUCUUCAGACCACAAUGAAGAUCUGACAUCUGUGAAAGGAGAGUGGGAAAGGAAUACUGGGUAGUAAAAGACUCAAAUUUCAGGAGGAUCCUGGCAAAGUCUCAGCCCUGAGUAAAAGUUGCCCAUUAGAGGAGUCCCGUGGUGGGCAGAAAUGGACUGGAUCUAAUACCCCCACAGUGCUAAGUCAUUGGCUGGGAGCAUACCAAGAAAAAUGUUGCCUGGUGGAUCCGAAGGGACAACAGCUAAAGUUGUCAAUCAGCUAUGCUUUUCAGAGUAGAUCCUGUUGAACGGCAAGUGGUUGAUCUUUCCUGAGGAGGAAUUCUGCUACCAACUGUGAAGAUGUGAGGAAGUGCCUUGUCGUAGACCAACGCUUCUGGUGAGAACAACUGGAACAGCUGAAUUCAAAUUUUCUUUUUAAGGAUAUCAGAAGCCCUGUCAAGAAGGUAGCUCUGACAAUCCAAAAUCCUGGAGAGAAGAGAAGCUCGUGGAGUUGGACCAACAUUCUAUGCAUUGCUUUUUGCCAGAGGGCAUUUGCUGACUCUUGGGAAGCACACACUGAUGCUGAGAAGACAGGGAGAGGUCAGCUGAGGAGGCUGAGGAGCCAGUGGAGUUUAAAAUCAUCUCAUGGGACUAAGGAGACAAAACCGGAGCUCGAGAGUGCCAAAAUAUCUAAGACUUGAGAUCCCAAGGUUAUGGAUAGAAGGGAGAUGCAAAGAAGGGAGCCUACAAUCCUGCAACAGUUUUCCCCCGGGCCAUUUCCUGCCAUAAACUGCAUAGAGCAAGAGGCUCAGAAGCCAAGAAGAUGAACGCUAUAAAGCUAAGCAGAACUGAGCUUUUAACAGCAAAAAGAGAAGUAAAAAGA